AGAGUUUGAUCCUGGCUCAGAUUGAACGCUGGCGGCAUGCUUUACACAUGCAAGUCGGACGGCAGCACAGAGAAGCUUGCUUCUUGGGUGGCGAGUGGCGAACGGGUGAGUAACAUAUCGGAACGUACCGAGCAGUGGGGGAUAACUAAUCGAAAGAUUAGCUAAUACCGCAUAUUUUCUGAGGAAGAAAGCAGGGGACCAUUUGGCCUUGCGCUGUUUGAGCGGCCGAUAUCUGAUUAGCUAGUUGGUGGGGUAAAGGCCUACCAAGGCGACGAUCAGUAGCGGGUCUGAGAGGAUGAUCCGCCACACUGGGACUGAGACACGGCCCAGACUCCUACGGGAGGCAGCAGUGGGGAAUUUUGGACAAUGGGCGCAAGCCUGAUCCAGCCAUGCCGCGUGUCUGAAGAAGGCCUUCGGGUUGUAAAGGACUUUUGUCAGGGAAGAAAAGGGCGGGGUUAAUACCCCUGUCUGAUGACGGUACCUGAAGAAUAAGCACCGGCUAACUACGUGCCAGCAGCCGCGGUAAUACGUAGGGUGCGAGCGUUAAUCGGAAUUACUGGGCGUAAAGCGGGCGCAGACGGUUACUUAAGCAGGAUGUGAAAUCCCCGGGCUCAACCUGGGAACUGCGUUCUGAACUGGGUGACUAGAGUGUGUCAGAGGGAGGUAGAAUUCCACGUGUAGCAGUGAAAUGCGUAGAGAUGUGGAGGAAUACCGAUGGCGAAGGCAGCCUCCUGGGAUAACACUGACGUUCAUGCCCGAAAGCGUGGGUAGCAAACAGGAUUAGAUACCCUGGUAGUCCACGCCCUAAACGAUGUCGAUUAGCUGUUGGGCAGCUUGACUGCUUAGUAGCGAAGCUAACGCGUGAAAUCGACCGCCUGGGGAGUACGGUCGCAAGAUUAAAACUCAAAGGAAUUGACGGGGACCCGCACAAGCGGUGGAUGAUGUGGAUUAAUUCGAUGCAACGCGAAGAACCUUACCUGGUCUUGACAUGUACGGAACCCUCCAGAGACGGAGGGGUGCCUUCGGGAGCCGUAACACAGGUGCUGCAUGGCUGUCGUCAGCUCGUGUCGUGAGAUGUUGGGUUAAGUCCCGCAACG
rnacentral:rRNA from 1 species